rnacentral:tRNA from 2 species
GCCGGCUUAGCUCAGUGGUAGAGCAGCGGUUUUGUAAACCGUUGGUCGGGAGUUCAAAUCUCUCAGCCGGCA